rnacentral:rRNA from 1 species
AUGGCUAACUCGCUGCUCGACUCGCCGCCGCAGCUCCCUGCCGCCGGCCCUUGGGGCUCUCUGUUCGCCGUCCAGGAACCCGGGAAGCCUCGGCGUGUGUCGGUGGCGCUACCGUUCGCUCCCAAGAAGAUGCCAGCGUACCGGUACGGCAUGAAGCGGAACCUGGAGAUGUGCACCGAGGCGCUCGGGUGCGAGACCGGUGGGGUCGACCCAUCCGCUGACGACGCCGACGAGGGCGUGGAGCGGAAGAGGAAAUACAGAGAGGAGGAGGAGGAGAUCAAGGUGGAGCGGACGGAGCCGAGGGCGCGCGUGCUGCCGCCGCCGCUGACGACGCUCGCGGCUGGCGCGACCCGCAUGCGCAUGGUCCACGAGCGACGCGGCGGGCGGCUGGAGGUGUACGCGGUCCGAGCCUCCGGGAUGGAGGCCGAGCGGAGCGGCGGGCGUCUCCGCCUCCGCCUCCGGCUCUGCGCCGGCUGCAAUGCCGCUGCAGCGUGCAGCAGCCAACAAGAAGCGCAAGAAGCAGAGGAAGAUGAGACAGAGGAGGUAGAGCAGCAGCAGCAGGAGUGCGUGGCCCCCAAGUACGUGCGCCGCGAGCGGUGCCUGAAGGUGGAGAGUGGCGCCACGGCGGCGAGGUGCAGCAUCAAAUGGGAGCAGGAGCAGGCUGCCGCCUUCUGGGUGGCCACCACCUGA